CUUACAGCUCUGGAGACUGGAAGUUGAAUCAGGAUAGCAGCAUACUCAGGUCCUGGUGAGGGCCCUCUUCUGGGAUCCAAGAAUGAGGACUCCUUGGAUCCUCCCAUGGUGGAAAGCAGUUGAUCUUUGAGUUAGGGGACAUGGUAGCUGCUGAUUCAACUAUCAUUGAACCUCCUUAUUGAAGAAUGACAUUGCCAAGAUAGCACCAAGUCUCAGAAUCUGAAAACUUAAUACAGUGAUUUCUAAUUCAGCUAGUCAUCAAAAUCACCUGCAGAACUUUACAAAAAUUUAAAUCAUCCUGCCCAGAGAUUCUAUUCAACAAGUUUUGGAGCAAACCCGGAAACUGAAUUUUGAAAUGUUCCCAGAUAAUUCUGUCGAUCAGCCAAGUCUGGGAAUCUCCAGGUGAAAUGCCGAGGACUUGGUCCAUCUGCAGGCUCAUCUCAUGACUACAGCCUAGCCAAGAUGGGAAAACAGGCUUAAGGAAGGAUAAGUAACUUGUUCAAGUACUGGCUCCUGAGCUCAGAGAAGAUAAGGAGAGGAUCAUGCUGGCGUGAGCACUGACCACAGAGGGAACGAGAGACCCAAGAAAUACCCUUUCCCUGUGGUGACAGGAUGGAAACUGCCAAUCUCUCUGCAGGCGCCCCUCUGGCUGGUAGGAGGCACCAGAACACACUGCAUGCUCCAGUGUGUGAUAUGCUGCUGUUUCUUAAAAGCCUGUGUGAGAGGUCAGUGCCACCAAGUGGCUGAAAGAAACUGAUGUAUAAAGGCUUCCUGGGAGUGAAAUGGUUCUUUCAGAAUGGCUUUUGGAUGAUACAUAUAUCUCUGAUGACAUAGAGAAACAUGCACUGCCUCAGUUGGGAUUAGAGGAUCUGAGCAGUGGCUGGCCACUCCAAUCACCAUGCUGUGCUGCCUUCUUCCAAGCCCCAUCUCACCAGAUCAUAUGGUCACAGCAGAAGGCCAACCACAAUGUUGACCUACGAGUGCAAGGCAUGUGUAAUGGGAUCAAGCAAGGUUCUCUGAGAUGCUGAAAUGAGAUACAGAAUACAAUGAUUAUAUUCAGGUUUGGGCAAUUGUGAAUAUCACUGCUGUAAACAUUCAUGCACAGGUUUUUAUGUGAACAUAAGUUUUCAUUUCUCUGUGGAAGACAAAUAGGAACAGGAUUCCUAGUUCAUAUGAAAGGCAAACCACAAAAGACAAAAAGAGAAAGAAGGACCUCCAGAGUGGGAGAAUAACUCCUCGCCUGUCAGGUAGGUUACACUCACUGUGUGCAUCCCUGAUAUAAAAUGGUGAAACAUUUGCAUAACCCAUCCUCCCAUGUACUUUACAUCAUCUCUAGAUUUACUU
rnacentral:lncRNA from 1 species